rnacentral:rRNA from 1 species
UACGUAGGGGCCUAGCGUUGUCCGGAUUUAUUGGGCGUAAAGAGCUCGUAGGCGGUUUGGUGAGUCGGGUGUGAAAUCUCCACGCUCAACGUGGAGGAGCCACCCGAUACUGCCAUGACUGGAGUCCGGUAGGGGAGUGUGGAAUUCCCGGUGUAGCGGUGAAAUGCGUAGAUAUCAGGAGGAACACCGGCGGUGUAGACGGCUUUCUGGACCGUAGCUGACGCUGAGACACGAAAGCGUGGGUAGCAAACAGG